rnacentral:rRNA from 1 species
ACCAUCGUUUAACGGCCGCGACUAAGUGCUAAGGUAGCAUAAUAAUUUGUCUUUUUAUUGGAGACUAGAAUGAAAGAAGAUAACGAGGCUUAACUGUCUCCAAGCAACCUAUUAAAAUUGAUUUAAGAGUGAAAAAUCUCGUAUACUAGUGAAGGACGAAAAGACCCUGUAGAGUUUGUAGUGAAAUUAAUAAAUUAAUUAAUUCACUUUUAUUGGGGCAAUAAAAGAUCAAAUUUAAACUCUUUUAAAAGGUUUUUGACAUAUCAAAAAAAAGAUCCUCAAAGAGAAAAAAGAAAAACUACCUCAGGGAUAACAGCGUAAUUCUUCCAGAGAGAUCUAAUUGAAGGAAUGAGUUUGCGACCUCGAUGUUGGACUAAGGUAACUUUUAAAUGCAGAAGUUUAUUAAAGUAAGCCUGUUCGGCUUUUAAAACCUUACAUGAUCUG